rnacentral:rRNA from 1 species
AUGCUCCCGCUCGCCGCCGCAAGGGCCUGCCUUUCCUCCCCGGCGCCUCCGCCGAGACCCCAACCCCGAGCGGCGCCUCUCUCCCCCCUUCACCGUCUCCGCUCCACUGCCACGCUGCCCAGACCCGCCAGGAUCCCCCUCCUCCGCCCGCUCGGGGCCACCGCGGGCGCCGGCGCGUCGUCGCGGCCCGCGAGGGACCGUGUGAUCGAGUUCGGCAAGCACAAGGGCCAGAUGCUAGGCACGCUGCCGCCGUCCUACCUGCGCUGGGUGGUCGCGGAGCUCGACUGCGGGGACACGCUGGUCUGGGCGCGCCUGGCGCGCGAGGUGCUCGACGACCCCGUCUAUGUCAACCGCGUCGAGUGGGAGCACGCGCACCGCUUCCUCCGCGGCGACUCCAAGUUCGACUACGUCUACGACGACGGCGACGGGCCCCUCCAGGAGAUGGCCGAGCGCUUCGGCUGGGAUCUCUCCGACGAGGACGGCUGGCGCCUCGACUUCCGCCUCCUCGACACCUCCUACGGUGGCCGCAUCCCGAGGAAGGCCGACCGGCGCCAGAGCACCGGCGGCGCCCUGUUCGACACCGGGGCGGCCGACCCGGACGGGCCGAGGGGGAAGAGGGACGAGAGGAGGGAGCGGACGCGGACGAGGAGGGAGGAGCAGGUGAGGACGGCGAAACUGGAUGUGCUCGGCGCGAAGGAUGGCCACGGUGGCAUUUGGUUCAUGGGCCCAACCGGUCAGAUUUGUGCUUAG